AGAAGAAGCAGAAGCAGCAGCAGUAGAGAGCGGCAUUUAUUUUAUUGAUUUGCAAACCACUGAGAAUGUUCCAUGGCACGCGAUGCAUGGCGAUUGUGAGUCGCCGGCCCCGAACCCAAGGACAUCAUUUCCCCCCUCGCUGUAUUUGGUGAAGCGACUUUAACGUGUUUUCAUGACCAAAAACAGCGGCUGUCGCCCCGUGUUCAAAUCCAAACGGACAUCACACACAAAAACUCACUCCGUGCGCGACAUUCAAAGCACCAAGUAUUCAUCACUAUCAUCAUCAACUGUUUUAAGUGACUUUGGGACUAGAAUAAGGAUUAACAAUUAGCAUGUCGGUGGCUUCAGCAAAUGGCUUCAGCGCCGGAAGUGGCGGCGGCCGCGGUGGCGGUGGUGGCGGCAUCAGCGAGACCGAUAAUGUCUCCGCCCUUGAACUGCAAUCGAAUCGACGCAUGCUGUACUUCAGUGACGGAGUCAUGGAGGAGCUCUCCUCAUCCAGCGAUAGCGAGACAGAGGCCGACGUCCCCGAUAAGUGCUACAAUGUCCAGUUGGACGAGCGCGAAAUGGCGUUGGGGCCGCGCCUACGCUACAAGGCCAGCCGCGUGGGAAAUAAAUUCUUAGCCGGCAUCGACUAUGUGGGCGGUGGCCUGGCCUCCUUGCUGGGCAUCACCAGCGCCAAGUAUGCCACCGAAAUGGAGAACUACCAAAGGGCCAAAAUACAACUCGACGAGGACCUUGACAACAAUUGGCAGCCCCAGCGCUCGCAGAACAACAAUCACAACAACAUGAAUCGCAACGAGACCAUCGUGCUGUGUGCCCCAGCACGCAGCGGGGGGGCGCCGCCAUCAGAUGUCCCCCAGCCCGAGCUGCAGGGCCGGCAAUAGUAGGUGCUCGCUCAUCAGGUGAAAAAGGGUUCAGAGAGAAAGAGAGAGAGAGAGAUUUUGAUACUCCUUUUUACAAAAUGGUAAAACCAAAACGCGAUGAUAUUCAACUUUUCGACACACUUUAUUCGCUAGCAAAUAAGUUACAUAUAAUAAAAGAAGUAUAAUUACUACGAAAAAAAACCAUCGUUAGUAUACGAAUAUAUCGAAUAUAUAUGUAUAUUUGUAUUGUAUUCCCCUUAAAGCUAAUGGCACACUGAAUACAGUUUAGGAAUUAAUGCUAGCAUUACACAUUAAUACGAUUGCGUUCCCAUUAAGUACACUUUCGGUUCGUUCGGUGUUCGGUUCGAUUUGUGGCGUGGCUCGAGCCAGAGAGGGAGAAGGAGUGGGAGGGAGGGAGGGAGGAGGAGGACACAGCAAAGUCUCGGGGCCUCUGCUUUUGAGGACAUGAACAUGCGUAUCACAGUAUUUGGUUGCUGCGUUGUUUCUCCACGAAAAAAAAAA
rnacentral:misc_RNA from 1 species